GGCGGCGUGCUUAACACAUGCAAGUCGAGCGGAAAGGCCCUUCGGGGUACUCGAGCGGCGAACGGGUGAGUAACACGUGAGUAACCUGCCCUGGACUUUGGGAUAACCCUCGGAAACGGGGGCUAAUACCGGAUACGACACACUGACGCAUGUUGUGUGUGUGGAAAGUUUUUUCGGUCUGGGAUGGGCUCGCGGCCUAUCAGCUUGUUGGUGGGGUGAUGGCCUACCAAGGCGACGACGGGUAGCCGGCCUGAGAGGGCGACCGGCCACACUGGGACUGAGACACGGCCCAGACUCCUACGGGAGGCAGCAGUGGGGAAUAUUGCACAAUGGGCGGAAGCCUGAUGCAGCGACGCCGCGUGAGGGAUGACGGCCUUCGGGUUGUAAACCUCUUUCAGCAGGGACGAAGCGCAAGUGACGGUACCUGCAGAAGAAGCGCCGGCCAACUACGUGCCAGCAGCCGCGGUAAGACGUAGGGCGCGAGCGUUGUCCGGAUUUAUUGGGCGUAAAGAGCUCGUAGGCGGCUUGUCGCGUCGACCGUGAAAACUUGGGCUCAACCCCAAGCUUGCGGUCGAUACGGGCAGGCUCGAGUUCGGUAGGGGAGACUGGAAUUCCUGGUGUAGCGGUGAAAUGCGCAGAUAUCAGGAGGAACACCGGUGGCGAAGGCGGGUCUCUGGGCCGAUACUGACGCUGAGGAGCGAAAGCGUGGGGAGCGAACAGGAUUAGAUACCCUGGUAGUCCACGCUGUAAACGUUGGGCGCUAGGUGUGGGGACCCUCUCCGGUUCUCUGUGCCGCAGCUAACGCAUUAAGCGCCCCGCCUGGGGAGUACGGCCGC
rnacentral:rRNA from 1 species